rnacentral:rRNA from 1 species
GGGUUGUGAGGUUAAGCGACUAAGCGUACACGGUGGAUGCCCUGGCAGUCAGAGGCGAUGAAGGACGUGCUAAUCUGCGAUAAGCGUCGGUGAGGUGAUAUGAACCGUUAUAACCGGCGAUUUCCGAAUGGGGAAACCCAGUGUGUUUCGACACACUAUCAUUAACUGAAUCCAUAGGUUAAUGAGGCGAACCGGGGGAACUGAAACAUCUAAGUACCCCGAGGAAAAGAAAUCAACCGAGAUUCCCCCAGUAGCGGCGAGCGAACGGGGAGGAGCCCAGAGCCUGAAUCAGUGUGUGUGUUAGUGGAAGCGUCUGGAAAGGCGUGCGAUACAGGGUGACAGCCCCGUACACAAAAAUGCACAUAUUGUGAGCUCGAUGAGUAGGGCGGGACACGUGGUAUCCUGUCUGAAUAUGGGGGGACCAUCCUCCAAGGCUAAAUACUCCUGACUGACCGAUAGUGAACCAGUACCGUGAGGGAAAGGCGAAAAGAACCCCGGCGAGGGGAGUGAAAAAGAACCUGAAACCGUGUACGUACAAGCAGUGGGAGCCUCUUAAUGGGGUGACUGCGUACCUUUUGUAUAAUGGGUCAGCGACUUAUAUUCUGUAGCAAGGUUAACCGAAUAGGGGAGCCGAAGGGAAACCGAGUCUUAACUGGGCGUUAAGUUGCAGGGUAUAGACCCGAAACCCGGUGAUCUAGCCAUGGGCAGGUUGAAGGUUGGGUAACACUAACUGGAGGACCGAACCGACUAAUGUUGAAAAAUUAGCGGAUGACUUGUGGCUGGGGGUGAAAGGCCAAUCAAACCGGGAGAUAGCUGGUUCUCCCCGAAAGCUAUUUAGGUAGCGCCUCGUGAAUUCAUCUCCGGGGGUAGAGCACUGUUUCGGCAAGGGGGUCAUCCCGACUUACCAACCCGAUGCAAACUGCGAAUACCGGAGAAUGUUAUCACGGGAGACACACGGCGGGUGCUAACGUCCGUCGUGAAGAGGGAAACAACCCAGACCGCCAGCUAAGGUCCCAAAGUCAUGGUUAAGUGGGAAACGAUGUGGGAAGGCCCAGACAGCCAGGAUGUUGGCUUAGAAGCAGCCAUCAUUUAAAGAAAGCGUAAUAGCUCACUGGUCGAGUCGGCCUGCGCGGAAGAUGUAACGGGGCUAAACCAUGCACCGAAGCUGCGGCAGCGACACUAUGUGUUGUUGGGUAGGGGAGCGUUCUGUAAGCCUGUGAAGGUGGCCUGUGAGGGUUGCUGGAGGUAUCAG